GAGACUCUCUAGUGGGUAGAUGAUCGCAAAAGCAGUAUGCCUGUCACCUUGUGCUGUAAUUUCUUUCUCAAUUGGUUUUUGAUUGUACAUUACAAAACAGGCACUGUCAGGCACCUGUCAGGUGCAGUGCUCCCAGAUGCACCAACUCUAAUAAAGAAGGAUAUGGCUGCAUAAACUUUACUCAAGAUCCAAACUUGAGACAAAAAUGGAUUGAUGCUGUCGGAAUUUCUAAUUGAAAAUCUUCAAAAUCAGCUGUACUGUGUGAAGCCAGUAUCGAAGUUCAUUUCCAUUCAUCAGAAGAACGCUGAUUGGUUGCUUCUAUGACACAUUCUCAAUUCCGCAGUCGUUUUCCGCACCGUGUGAUUUCACCCUAAGUACGCACAUUAAAACCGCCGUACAUACACAAAAUAACGUAAAUAUAUGUUUAAAUAAACAUAAAAAUCGAUUAAAUCGUGAAAUACU